UACGUAGGGUGCAAGCGUUAAUCGGAAUUACUGGGCGUAAAGCGUGCGCAGGCGGUCUUGCAAGACAGGUGUGAAAUCCCCGGGCUUAACCUGGGAACUGCAUUUGUGACUGCAAGGCUGGAGUACGGCAGAGGGGGAUGGAAUUCCGCGUGUAGCAGUGAAAUGCGUAGAUAUGCGGAGGAACACCGAUGGCGAAGGCAAUCCCCUGGGCCUGUACUGACGCUCAUGCACGAAAGCGUGGGGAGCAAACAGG
rnacentral:rRNA from 1 species